GCGAACGGGUGAGUAACGCGUUGGUGACCUGCCCCAAAGAAGGGGAUAACAGUUCGAAAGGACUGCUAAUACCCUAUGUUAUCAGUUGGAUUAGAUGCCUUCUGAUUAAAGGAGUAAUCCACUUUGGGAGGGACCUGCGUCCCAUCAGCUAGUUGGUAGGGUAAUGGCCUACCAAGGCAAUGACGGGUAGGGGACCUGAGAGGGUGACCCCCCACAAUGGCACUGAAAUACGGGCCAUACACCUACGGGUGGCAGCAGUAGGGAAUAUUGGACAAUGGGCGAAAGCCUGAUCCAGCAACACCGCGUGCACGAUGACGGCCUUCGGGUUGUAAAGUGCUUUUAGAGGAGAUGAGAAAGGACAGUAUCCUCUGAAUAAGCCUCGGCGAACUACGUGCCAGCAGCCGCGGUAAAACGUAGGAGGCAAGCCGUUUAUCCGGAUUUAAUUGGGGCGUAAAGCGCGUGCAGGCGGUCUUAUCAAGUUGGGAUGUGAAAGCUCCUGGGCUUAACUGGGAGAAUGUCGUUCAAUACUGUUAGACUAGAGAAUAGAGAGAGGAGGUGGAAUUCCGGGUGUAGUGGUGAAAUGCGUAGAUAUCCCGGAGGAACACCCAGUGGCGAAAGCGGGCCUCCUAGACUAUUUUCUGACGGCUUAGACGCGAAAGCUAAGGUAGCAAACGGGAUUAGAGACCCCGGGUAGUCCUAGCUGUAACGAUG
rnacentral:rRNA from 1 species